CCAAAAACUUCUCCAAACUGAGUCUUAGAUAACGUGAUGUCAGGAUCCUUUUCUUCUAGCCUUCCUGGAAGGUUCUGGUUCUGCAAACAAGUACGACACAUCUCCGAGAAACUUAGCAAACACUUAUCGACAAUGAGUCAUCGCCAUAUGAUGGGGGAGCUGAAUGAGACGUUGGAGACCAUUCGGGGAUUUUUACCUUUCCUUUCACAGAUGGGGAAACCGAGUCCCAGGGAUCUCUGCCCCAAAUCUCGUGACUACUGACUGGCCACACUGGAACCAAAUCCAAGGUCUUACAAUUUUCUCUGAAUUUUCUACAUGGCCAGCUCAAAAAGACACUAUGCCGCACCCUGCGUUUUCUGGAGUAAAGCAGAGAAUGUGGGGAAGGAAGAAAAGGGGGAAGAAUCAAGUAAAGCUUGCUUCUUGCUGAGAUUGUCCUGGGUGCCCUGCUGGAAUUUCCCUUGGAAGAGUCACCCGAGAACCACAGCAGCAGCAAAGAUAUGAAAUGCCAUCUUGUGAAAGAACAUCGAAGACUAGUUAGUGACAUCCCCCCCUGUCAACCACGAUGGAGACGUGAGCUUUGUUACAAACUUUAUUCCUCAAUCGUAUGAGCAGGAUCACAGCUUAAAGCACAUGUAGACGGGAUCUGCGAAGCGUUUUCCUCUCCAUCAUUUUCUCUCUUCUCUGUUUUCUCUGCCCUUCGCCGGCACAUGACAAUUGGGUCAUCGGCUGAUUUACUACGGGGGCAACAGGGCACCGCUGGUCUCUACGAUGGCUGCCUUCGGCUUUUAUCAACAACAGCCAAGGACAGAAGAAAGUUCCUCGUUAUGAAAUUACCUUGAGCGUGAUGAGAGUUUCAUCGGUUAAAGAAAAUUUAAGUGAGAAGACUGCACCCCAGGGUUACUACAAACACAUAUUCUCUUCAGACCUUUCUGAGUAUUAACUGAUGUGGUGCUGACAGCAAUUUUGAGGAUUUAAUUUAGGACGCUAUUUUCUCUUUCUUUUUCUUAAUGUUCAUUUAUCGAGAGAGAGAGAGAACACGCAAGUCAAGGCGAGGGGCAGAGAGAGAGGGAGAGAGAGAAUCCCAAGGAGGCUCUGCAUGGGCUCUGUGCUCCCCGAUGUAGGGCUCGAUCCCUCGAACCGCGAGAUCGCGGCCUGAGCCGAAACCAAGAGUAGACGCCCAACCCGCUGAGGCAUCCGGGGUGCUCUUUUCUUCAGUGAAAAUGC